GCAGCGUGCUGGCCUUCGUGCUGGACCACCUGCUGCCCCACACGCAGAACGCCGAGGACAAGGACACACCGGCGCUGGCGCGGCUCUUCCUGGCCAGCCUGGCGGCGGCGGGCAGUGGGACGGACGCGCAGGUGGCGCUGGUCAACGAGGUGAAGGCGGCGCUGGGGAGGGCGCUGGCCAUGGCCGAGAGCACCGAGAAGCACGCCAGGCUGCAGGCCGUCAUGUGCAUCAUCAGCACCAUCAUGGAGUCGUGCCCGUCCACCUCCAGCUUCUACAGCAGCGCCAC